UACGAAGGUGGCAAGCGUUGUUCGGAUUUACUGGGCGUACAGGGAGCGUAGGCGGUUGGAUAAGCCCUCCGUGAAAUCUCCAGGCUUAACCUGGAAAGUGCAGAGGGGACUGUUCAGCUAGAGGAUGGGAGAGGAGCGCGGAAUUCCCGGUGUAGCGGUGAAAUGCGUAGAGAUCGGGAGGAAGGCCGGCGGCGAAGGCGGCGCUCUGGAACAUUUCUGACGCUGAGGCUCGAAAGCGUGGGGAGCAAACAGG
rnacentral:rRNA from 1 species